UACGUAGGUGGCAAGCGUUAUCCGGAAUUAUUGGGCGUAAAGCGCGCGCAGGUGGUUUCUUAAGUCUGAUGUGAAAGCCCCCGGCUCAACUGGGGAGGGUCACGCGAUACUGAUCGACUCGAAGGCAGGAGAGGGUAGUGGAAUUCCCGGUGUAGUGGUGAAAUGCGUAGAUAUCGGGAGGAACACCAGUGGCGAAGGCGACUACCUGGCCUGUUUCUUGACGCUGAGGCGCGAAAGCUAGGGGAGCAAACGGG
rnacentral:rRNA from 1 species